AGUCAACGCUGGCGGCGUGCCUAACACAUGCAAGUCGAACGAGAAAGGGGCUUCGGCCCUGAGUAAAGUGGCGGACGGGUGAGUAACACGUGGGUGAUCUGCCCUCCAGUGGGGGAUAACACACCGAAAGGUGUGCUAAUACCGCAUGGAGUUCCGGUUGUCAUGAUCGGAUUGAAAGCAGCAAUGUGCUGGAGGAGGAGCCCGCGCCGGAUUAGCUAGUUGGGGGGUAACGGCCCACCAAGGCUACGAUCCGUAGCCGGCCUGAGAGGGUGACCGGCCACACUGGAACUGAGACACGGUCCAGACUCCUACGGGAGGCAGCAGGUGGGGAAUUUUGCGCAAGUGGGGGAAACCCGUGACGCAGCAACGCCGCGUGGACGAUGAAGGUCCUUUGGGUCGUAAAGUCCUGUCAGCAAGGGAAAAACAAAAUGAUGGUACCUGCAGAGGAAGCUCCGGCUAAC
rnacentral:rRNA from 1 species